GCCUAACACAUGCAAGUCGAACGAUAAAGUGGAUCAAUCCACUACUGGGGUGCCCACCGCGUGAGUAACCCGUGACUGGGCGUCCCUCCAGUGGGAAUAACUUCGGGAAAUCCCGGGUAAUACCGGAUGGGGGCACGGCUGGACGAUGUAAAUCACAGGAGCCACUUCAGUUGGGGAGGGGGUCACCGGCCUUGGGUUUUAAGACCGGGUAACGGGUCUCCAAGGAUGUGAUCGGAUAACGGGCUGUAAAAGCCGCACGGCCACCCUGCAAGUGGGAGAAGGGGGGAAUUUUGCGGUAGGGACCCAGCCGGCUUCCUGCUGGCGGGGGGAAAGCAUCGCGAUAACGGUCUUGUGCCACGUUGAAGUUCCCCUGCAAUGGAGCCGCGCCGCGAGUGGCCAG
rnacentral:rRNA from 1 species